rnacentral:rRNA from 1 species
CCUACGGGAGGCAGCAGUGAGGAAUAUUGGUCCAUGGACGAGAGUCUGAACCAGCCAAGUAGCGUGAAGGAUGACUGCCCUAUGGGUUGUAAACUUCUUUUAUAAAGGAAUAAAACGAGGCACGUGUGCCUUUUUGCAUGUACUUUAUGAAUAAGGAUCGGCUAACUCCGUGCCAGCAGCCGCGGUAAUACGGAGGAUCCGAGCGUUAUCCGGAUUUAUUUGGUUUAAAGUGAGAGUAGAUGGGUUGUUAAGUCAGUUGUGAAAGUUUGCGGCGCAACCGUAAAAUUGCAAUUGAUACUGGCAGUCGUGAGUACAGUUGAGGUAGGCGGAAUUCGUGGGGGAGCGGUGAAAUGCUUAGAUAUCACGAAGAACCCCGAUUGAGAAGGCAGCUUACUAAACUGUGACUGACAUUGAUGCUCGAAAGUGUGGGUAUCAAACAGGAUUAGAUACCCGAGUAGUC